GUAACUGGAACCAUGCUUACACCAUCAAUUGCUGGAGCCUUGAUGGGUCUGAGUUCAAUCGGUGUUAUGGCUAAUUCUUUGAUGUUGAGAAUGAAGCUGGGUUUAAAACAGAAACCAAUCUACAAGUUUGAUGAAAAUAAGAAACCUGGCAGUGAUUCCCAUGUCAUCUUGGAUAUCAAAGAACCUCCCGUUGUAAAAUGGAGAAGUUAAUUUUGCUGGAGCCUUGAUGGGUCUGAGUUCAAUCGGUGUUAUGGCUAAUUCUUUGAUGUUGAGAAUGAAGCUGGGUUUAAAACAGAAACCAAUCUACAAGUUUGAUGAAAAUAAGAAACCUGGCAGUGAUUCCCAUGUCAUCUUGGAUAUCAAAGUACCUGACAUAGAGAAGUUAAUUUUGCAAUAAUCUUGUAUCUAUAAAAUAGAACAUUAUUGAUUAUAAAAGCAUUUAUUGUGGUGGAUCUUGAUUAAUUUAGAUCAAUUAACUUAGAAAGACUUGAAGAUUGAAAAGUAUAUUUAUUUUUAUUAUCUAAUUAAUGUUAUUUGAAAAUUUGUUAGUUGC
rnacentral:lncRNA from 1 species